UGGCGGCGUGCCUAACACAUGCAGGUCGAGCGAGGAGAGUCCUUCGGGAUGAUCCUAGCGGCGGACGGGUGAGUAACACGUGGGCAACCUGCCUCAUAGAGAGGAAUAGCCUUCCGAAAGGGAGAUUAAUACCUCAUAACAUUGCAGUUUCGCAUGGGAACAGCAAUUAAAGGAGCAAUCCGCUAUGAGAUGGGGCCCGCGGCGCAUUAGCUAGUUGGUGAGGUAACGGCUCACCAAGGCGACGAUGCGUAGCCGACCUGAGAGGGUGAUCGGCCACAUUGGGACUGAGACACGGCCCAGACUCCUACGGGAGGCAGCAGUGGGGAAUAUUGCACAAUGGGGGAAACCCUGAUGCAAGCAACGCCGCGUGAGUGAUGACGGCCUUCGGGUUGUAAAGCUCUGUCUUCAGGGACGAUAAUGACGGUACCUGAGGAGGAAGCCACGGCUAACUACGUGCCAGCCGCUGC
rnacentral:rRNA from 1 species